GAGUUGUAAACUUCUUUUAUAUUAGAAUAAAGUGCAGUAUGUAUACUGUUUUGUAUGUAUAAUAUGAAUAAGGAUCGGCUAACUCCGUGCCAGCAGCCGCGGUAAUACGGAGGAUCCGAGCGUUAUCCGGAUUUAUUGGGUUUAAAGGGAGCGUAGGUGGACUGGUAAGUCAGUUGUGAAAGUUUGCGGCUCAACCGUAAAAUUGCAGUUGAUACUGUCAGUCUUGAGUACAGUAGAGGUGGGCGGAAUUCGUGGUGUAGCGGUGAAAUGCUUAGAUAUCACGAAGAACUCCGAUUGCGAAGGCAGCUCACUGGACUGCAACUGACACUGAUGCUCGAAAGUGUGGGUAUCAAACAGGAUUAGAUACCCUGGUAGUCCACACAGUAAA
rnacentral:rRNA from 1 species